UGGCGGACGGGUGAGUAACACGUGGGGCAACCUGCCCAAAANAGGGGGAUAACACUUGGAAACAGGUGCUAAUACCGCAUAACCAUAGUUACCGCAUGGUAACUAUGUAAAAGGUGGCUAUACUACCGCUUUUGGAUGGGCCCGCGGCGCAUUAGCUAGUUGGUAGGGUAAAGGCUUACCAAGGCAAUGAUGCGUAGCCGAAUUGAGAGGUUGAUCGGCCACAUUGGGACUGAGACACGGCCCAAACUCCUACGGGAGGCAGCAG
rnacentral:rRNA from 1 species